CCUACGGGAGGCAGCAGUGAGGAAUAUUGGGCAAUGGAGGCAACUCUGACCCAGCCAUGCCGCGUGAGUGAAGAAGGUUUUCGGAUUGUAAAGCUCUUUCGGAUGUGACGAUGAUGACGGUAGCAUCUAAAGAAGCCCCGGCUAACUUCGUGCCAGCAGCCGCGGUAAUACGAAGGGGGCAAGCGUUGUUCGGAAUUACUGGGCGUAAAGGGAGUGUAGGCGGUUUAGUAAGACAGUUGUGAAAUCCCAGGGCUUAACCUUGGAAUUGCCAUUAUAACUAUUAGACUAGAAUUACAGAGAGGUGAGUAGAAUACGUAGUGUAGAGGUGAAAUGCGUAGAUAUUGCGUAGAACUCCAGUUGCGAAGGCGACUAUCUGGCUGUACAUUGACGCUGAGGCUCGAAAGUAUGGGUAUCAAACAGGAUUAGAUACCCUUGUAGUC
rnacentral:rRNA from 1 species